AGAGUUUGAUCAUGGCUCAGAUUGAACGCUGGCGGCAUGCCUUACACAUGCAAGUCGAACGGCAGCACGGGAGCAAUCCUGGUGGCGAGUGGCGAACGGGUGAGUAAUAUAUCGGAACGUGCCCAGUCGUGGGGGAUAACGUAGCGAAAGCUACGCUAAUACCGCAUACGAUCUACGGAUGAAAGCGGGGGACUCGUAAGGGCCUCGCGCGAUUGGAGCGGCCGAUAUCAGAUUAGGUUGUUGGUGAGGUAAAAGCUCACCAAGCCUGCGAUCUGUAGCUGGUCUGAGAGGACGACCAGCCACACUGGAACUGAGACACGGUCCAGACUCCUACGGGAGGCAGCAGUGGGGAAUUUUGGACAAUGGACGCAAGUCUGAUCCAGCAAUGCCGCGUGCAGGACGAAGGCCUUCGGGUUGUAAACUGCUUUUGUACGGAACGAAACGGUCUGCUUUAAUACAGCGGGCUAAUGACGGUACCGUAAGAAUAG
rnacentral:rRNA from 1 species